AACGAACGCUGGCGGCAGGCCUAACACAUGCAAGUCGAGCGAAGCCUUCGGGCUUAGCGGCGGACGGGUGAGUAACGCGUGGGAACGUGCCCUUUGGUACGGAAUAGCCCCGGGAAACUGGGAGUAAUACCGUAUGUGGUCGAGAGACGAAAGAUUUAUCGCCAAAGGAUCGGCCCGCGUUGGAUUAGGUAGUUGGUGGGGUAAUGGCUUACCAAGCCGACGAUCCAUAGCUGGUUUGAGAGGAUGAUCAGCCACACUGGGACUGAGAUACGGUACAGAAUCGUGCGGUAGGCAGCAGUGGCGAAUCCUAGACAAUCGGGGAGACCCUGAUCUAGCCAUGCGGCGUGAUCCAUGAAGGCCUUAGCGUUGUAAAGGUAUUUCAUUGGGGAAGAUAAUGACCGUACCCGCAGAAGAAGCCCCGGCUAACUCCGUGCCAGCCGCCGCGGUAAUAC
rnacentral:rRNA from 1 species